UAUUCUAGUACUGUAAAGUUCAUCAAUUUAAAUUAUUUAUUUUUGCUACUAAUGUACCUGUAAUGUAUGUUAUAGUGUAUGUCAUAAACUGCAUCUGCCUUUUGAUAUCAUAAUUAAUUAAACUCCCAAAUGUAUUCUGUGCCAAGUAAGUAAUGAUAGAACCAUUAGAGAGCGUGAAGAGUUAAAGGAACUCAAGGCGACUUAGAAACAAAGAAUAGAUAAUGGUGAGAAGGACUUGGUAAUUAGGAAGGGUAGGAUAACUACUUUCCGUGAAAAAAACCCCAAUAGUCAGACCGUUAAUCUAAGAACUGGGAAAAUUAGUUGCUUAAAUGUUUUUUACAAAAAUUGUGAUUCUUUUUUGAACAAGAAAUCUGAAUUAAUUCUACGUUUAGCAAAUGAAAAUGUGCACAUUAUUGCUUUAACAGAGGUUAUCCUGAAGAAGUAUUUAUUUGAGUUGUCUACUGAGGAGUUUCAUAUCCCUGGCUUUCAUUUAUUUGUGCCAGAUGAGAAGUUUGUUUUAGGUAGAGGAGUGGCAAUAUAUGUUAAAUUCGUCGUUCACAACACGAACUAACACAAUCAAAGUAGAUUGUGUUAGUUCGUGAAAUCACAGUAGCGCGUCAAAACGAGCGCUUAUUGGUUGUCAAGGAAUUUUGUAUUCUUUACCACACGAAAAGUCCUCAACAACAACAGUGCGUAUUUUGACGUGCUUUCUUGAUUUCACGAAUUAACACAAUCUAUUUUGAUUGUGUUAGUUCGUGAUGUGAGUGACAAAUUUACUGGCGAUGAAAAGCUGUAUUCAAGGUUCAAGGAGGACUUUCAGAGACUUGUGAAACCAACAAUGCAGUGUGACCAGUUGUCAUACACAUUGAGAAGUUGUUUAGGUAGUGAGCCAAUGAAAGUUGUCAUGCCAGCAGAGGAAAAGAUUGAAAGGAUUUGGAAAAUGUUAGACAACAGCUGUGGUAAUAGAUCAAAGCUGGUGGAUAUAGUAGUGGGUGAUUUGGUAAAGCUAGCAUAGAUACAACUGCGCAAGAGUUCUUGUCCGAGUUUUUUAAACCACUGAAAGGAAUCAAGACAUUUCAUCACAUGUGGUAUAUGUUAGUGUUAGGUUUACUUAACCAUACUUUGCCAUGAAAUGAAAAAUACCCCUACAUGGAAUCGGAAAUUGAAACAUAAUGUUUUACUUUUCCCCAGCAUUUAAUUUAUUUAUAAUUAAUAUAAAUAAUUUCUUACACAUAAUUCGAUUUUAUUAUUAUAGAUUUAACAGCAAGAACCAGGGCCGGUGUAUGUGAGGAAUACAGUAGUUUUCCAGAACAAAAAGUUCAACAUUAGAAGAAUCCUGACAUAUUAUCCCCUGAUGUGUUACCUGAACUUAUUCCUUCUCCAGGCUUGACUCCAGCUAGAGAAUGGUUCUUAUAGUAGAUAAUUAGGGAGUAUGCUUGUAUCUGAAUCAAAAAUCAGAUUAUUACAAAUUAACAACAAUAAUUUGCAAUGCAAAUACAAUUCAUUUAUAAUAUGAAAUCAGCAAGAAAUGUAAUUAAAACAACAUUAACUUAUAUGUUCCAAAUAUUAUUUUAUAAUGCAAUGUUAUGACCAAAUAUUCUAUUUUUUUAAAUAUAGUGCUUUCUAUUGGAUGGAUGUAGCAUGAAUAGAGUAUGACUUAGAAUUAAGGGUGCAUGUAAUUGUUUGGAUUAGAAUCCUUAUGUACACACAAAAAAAAAAAAAAAAACAAGGAAAAAGAAUGUCCCUAUGAAGACUAUUCCAGUACCAGUACCAUCUGAUUCCAAGAUAUACAUUUUCUAGUAAAGAGAACAAACAAGCAAACUUGCACUCUAUUCUGACUACAGAUUAAUGGGGACAAAAUGUGUUGAAGUAAGUUUACAAACGUUACUUGUUUUCGCAAGCAAAUCAAGAAUUGGGAUGAAUACGUGAAAAAACUACCUUGCUACAAAGAAAAUAGAGAGAAAAAGUAAUGACAUCACGUUUCCUGGCGACCGGAUUGUCUGGGCCAAACAAAACUAGGACAGUGUUGGAUGGUUGCUAGUAAUGCAGAUUAGUGGAUCGUACCAACUACAGUAAGCCUAGUGUUGGUAGCCAUGGGAUUGCUGAAUUUAUUUGCAAUUUUUAAAUUCUUUGGUGGCCUUAAUGAGAAGGCACUGCAAAAAGGGGAAAACCACCUGAAGUCAAACCAUGUUGAGGGUUGCCGUUACGCCGAUGGGUUAAUUGAAGGACGUGUGCAUGCCAGUAUGAAGAACAAGGUGUAUGAUGUUAAGAUACAAAUUGAAGGUACAGCCAAAAAUACAAAAAUCCUGUCAACAUCGUGCAAAUGUGCAAUUGGUCGGGUUCGCAUGCUGCGACAUUGGCUUUGUGGGCGCAAAACAAUAUUUCGUGAACAGACAUACCAUGUGAAUGGAACAAACCAAUGGGGAAAGCGGAGACAACAAAAAGCAUUCAGGAGAUGUAUCCUGCUGGGAAGGUAUACACACUGCUGCAACGACCCACUAAUUCUGAUGACAAAAAGGCUAUGGUGUCCGGACUCAAAUAUUGUGGCAUGUUUACAACCCUCUACUGGAUGCUACUUCCCGAGACAAUCAAAGAAACCGUAAACCUUCCUAUCCAAACUGUACGGGAACUAAUUGAAAAUUUUCCAGUGGCAAAUGUUGUCGUAGAGUUGGCAGAAUUCCUGAAGAGAGCCAUCCAUCCGUAAACUUCGAUGUGCUAUAAUCCUCCGAUGUCACUCACCCACCGUUACAUUUAUAUUCAUAAAACUACCGUAACUAUAUGGGGUUUUAUAUUUGAUUUAAAGUUUAAAAAUAACUAAACUAUAAUUAAUAAUUAUUAAAAUAAUUCAGCACAGUCCUGAUACCUUAGUGCAGUAAUGGCGAGCCCACCACCACAACUCACCCCAUACGGUUCAGUGGAAGUGAGCCAUACAUCGACAGGUCACCUAACUCCACUCCAAAUGGCAGGGUUUGACCCACCAUCAUCUACACCAACAAUGUCUGAGAAAUCUAGCCAAUCUAAACCGACACCAACACCCCGACCAUAUUCACAACUGAGUUUUCCUGAUGUCGAAACCAAACCAAUUCUGCCAAGCUCCAAUGUCAUAACAACCCACCAGACUAAACAGGUUGCGACGUUUUCCGGGCGCAACAACAGCCACCAAGUCGAGGAUUGGAUACGGGAUAUGCGAUUCCUAAUCGAAUCGAAGCUAUCGGAUAGUGCUGGCUACGGAGAGGUUAUUCGACACACACAGGGGAGGGCCCGAGAUCUGGUAUUGAAUUUAGAGGCCAGGGGCGAUGUCGGAAAAACAGCGUCAACAGCCUUGGAGAAGCUGAUGUUGGAAUAUGGUGAAGCAAACCCUACACUGUCACCAAUAACAAACUUUUAUGCUUGCGUUCAGAGGCGUGGAGAGAGUGCAAGCUAAUAUGCUAUCACCUUGGAAGCCAUGCUUAGGAAAGCUCAAAAGAUAAAACCCAUGGAGGGCAGUGAUAGGAUGCUUUCAUCUUAGUUUAUGCUUGCCCCAAUGAAAUCACGUGACAUGCCAUUUACUCAACUUAGACGGGAGCUUCGGAUCGUGGCAGAGGAAAGUAAUCAAGCAGAGAGGAGGGCAUUCUCGAUGAACCAGAUAUCAAGGACACUUCAUCCCAGAUUGACAAACUAAAAGAGGCCCUAGAUAAACAGUUAGAGGCUACUAAAAGCCUUAUCGAGUCGCACCAGAGCCUGUCAGAGCGGCUCCAUCGAAUCAAAAUUUCUGGGCCACGUGGUUUUACCAAUGAGAUAGCUCAACCACAGAGAGGACAGUGGACCACAGCAUCACAACACCAACCGAUAAAUCCACCUCAACAUCAACCACAGUCACGUUUCAACCAGCCAAAAGGGAAGCUGCUCCAGUGUCACAUCUCUCGAUACUGUCCACUACCAAACCGUCCUUUAAACUAGUUUCGCCUGCUGUUAAGGGGCAACCAGUGGGUGCGAUAGAGAAGAUCCCGUUUGUUGUAGAUAGUGAAGUUUUGAUCUGACUGACGAUGAAAUGGAAUGUGACGAAAAGACGGAAAAGAUUAAUUCCAUACCCAUUAUUCCACCGCCUAUCGAAUGUGAAUCAGACAUGUCAGUCAACAGUCCUAUGAAGUAUGGCUUAUCUGAGGACAGCUUCUCCGAGGACGAAUAUAGAGUAGUUCGUCCCCCAGUCCGGUUCGGCGAGUGAGAGGGGAUUAAUGGGUAUAAUGGACAUCACUUAGCUAAGCUGGAAACUCUUGUAUAAGUUUGGUUCUUUGCUUUGUUGAAUUUCCUUUAAUACUGUGCCUUGUAUCACAUUGGUUAUUAUUUUUAAUUGUUGGUGACAACAAUAACAAACUGGGGGGGGGGGUGUGUGAGGGUAUAUUUAAGACAGCAUUGCGCCCUCAGAGUGACCACAUCAAAUUACAUUAAGAUUAGGGACAAAGGCAGUGAUAGUCAAGCCAUCCAUCCGUAAACAUCGAUGUGCUAUAAUCCUCCGAUGUCACUCACCCACCGUUACAUUUAUAUUCAUAAAACUACCGUAACUAUAUGGGGUUUGAGCCGCUAUUUUAAUCUCACUAUUGUGGAAAGACUGUGCUGUUAACUUAACAUAUAUCUUUUAAUUUGAAUCUUUCUAAUUUUUAUCGUAAA